rnacentral:rRNA from 1 species
UGAGGAAUAUUGGACAAUGGGCGCAAGCCUGAUCCAGCCAUGCCGCGUGCAGGAUGACGGUCCUAUGGAUUGUAAACUGCUUUUGUACAGGAAGAAACACUCCCUCGUGAGGGAGCUUGACGGUACUGUAAGAAUAAGGAUCGGCUAACUCCGUGCCAGCAGCCGCGGUAAUACGGAGGAUCCAAGCGUUAUCCGGAAUCAUUGGGUUUAAAGGGUCCGUAGGCGGUUUAAUAAGUCAGUGGUGAAAGCCCAUCGCUCAACGGUGGAACGGCCAUUGAUACUGUUAAACUUGAAUUAUUAGGAAGUAACUAGAAUAUGUAGUGUAGCGGUGAAAUGCUUAGAGAUUACAUGGAAUACCAAUUGCGAAGGCAGGUUACUACUAAUG